rnacentral:rRNA from 1 species
UACGUAGGGAGCAAGCGUUGUCCGGAAUCAUUGGGCGUAAAGCGCGCGUAGGUGGCCUCAUAAGUCCGCUGUGAAAGUCAAAGGCUCAACCUUUGAAAGCCGGUGGAUACUGUGAGGCUAGAGUACGGAAGAGGCGAGUGGAAUUCCUGGUGUAGCGGUGGAAUGCGCAGAUAUCAGGAGGAACACCAAUAGCGUAGGCAGCUCGCUGGGACGUUACUGACACUGAGGCGCGAAAGCGUGGGGAGCAAACAGG